rnacentral:rRNA from 1 species
CAAGAUGAGAUUUCCCAAUUAGUAAGACCCCUUGAAGACGACGAGGUAGAUAGGUUGGAGGUGGAAGCACAGCAAUGUGUGGAGCUGACCAAUACUAAUCGGUCGAGGGCUUAUCCUAUUU